AUAUUUACCCACCAGGGGAGAUGCCAUGAUUAUGAAGGUAGUUUACCUAGGACGAGGCUUGUCCGUUGCACUCUGAUGUGCUGAUCCUUGUGCUUUCCCCAAAUGUGGGAAAUGGGACUGCAUAAAUUUGCAGUAGUGGGGGAUUGCAUUUACACUCUGCCCUA
ensembl:snRNA U1 U1 spliceosomal RNA